rnacentral:rRNA from 1 species
AGUGAACGCUGGCGGUAGGCCUAACACAUGCAAGUCGAACGGCAGCACAGUAAGAGCUUGCUCUUACGGGUGGCGAGUGGCGGACGGGUGAGGAAUACAUCGGAAUCUACUUUUUCGUGGGGGAUAACGUAGGGAAACUUACGCUAAUACCGCAUACGACCUACGGGUGAAAGCAGGGGAUCUUCGGACCUUGCGCGAUUGAAUGAGCCGAUGUCGGAUUAGCUAGUUGGCGGGGUAAAGGCCCACCAAGGCGACGAUCCGUAGCUGGUCUGAGAGGAUGGACAGCCAACGUGGAAAGGGACACCGGCCCAGACCCCUACGGGGGGCAGCAGGGGGGAAUUUUGGAAAAUGGGCGCAAGCCUGAUCCAGCCAUCCCGGGUGGGUGAAGAAGGCCUUCGGGUUGUAAAGCCCUUUUGUUGGGAAAAAAAAGCAGCAGGUUAAAACCCCGCUGUUCUGACGGUACCCAAAAAAAAAGCACCGGCUAACUUCGU